rnacentral:lncRNA from 1 species
AAAGGAAAUAGGGAAAACAGAAAGAAGUCCCUUUGGAGAUGACAUACUAUCAGGGGAGGAUGAUUGCUUAGUUCCUUAGCUGGCAUGCGCAAAGACAAGUGUGUCCUGUGUGGAGGACUAACCUUAGAGAGGAGGAGAUUCCACCUGGCCUAGCUUUAUGGCUGUCAAUUGUCUAUUUUGCCAUUUAUAAGCUGAAAGAAGGCACUAAAGAUGAGAAUAAUUUAUACAAUAAAUAUAUUAAAUGUAUAGAAAUGAAUUUCUAUAGGUGAAAAAGUUUUGUGAAAUAUUUUGUAACGACUAAAAAACAUUGAAAGACUAAAUGUACGCACUCUCAGCAGAUGAUCAAAUUCAAGAAUUUGAGGCUGCACUCUCCCUUUUGUUGCCAAUGAUCCAUUCAGAGCAUCUGAGUUCCCUCCAGGUCUGACAAAGACUUCCCUUUCACUCCCCUCCCACACUGCCCAUGCACACUAGCACACUAGCGAUACACUCUUACGGAACACACUCCUGGAUAAAUUACCCUCAUGGAUAGUUUUGGAAGAGAUUUUUGUUACAAUUCUUUAAGCCCAUGGCUUUUCAGAUACAAACUCAUGCAAAUGAUCGAAAGGGAAAGAUUGCUUUCCUCUAGUUAAAUAGCCUGAGCCAACCACUCAGAUAGUCAAAUAACAUUGUUCCUAGUUACUUGCAUACAGUUCAAGAACCAUUCAGUAUUCUGGCAAACCAUAAGUCAUUAGAAUUAUCUUUUCUUUGUUUCACAGAGCAAUUGAAGUGUUUUGUAACAGCCCUAGUUGGCAUUAUAGGGGGAGAUCUGUCCUAAGAUGCACUAUUUCUCUGAGGAAGAGAAAAAAGAGAAGUUAUCUAGUUGGGAGUGGUGAGGGACGCACUUUGUUUCAGUAUAUAGGGCAAAGAGAACCACAAGAAAAGGACGAUUUAUGGCUUUGAGCUCAACCAAUUGAAUUGCCUUCCUUAGGGCUGCACCUGGACCAAGUUUAUUUUUCUAACAAUUAUACUAAUAACGAUUUUAAAAGAGAAACCUCCCAAAGCCUAUAAGCUGAAACACAAGAGUUAGCUUCCCAUUUUAGCGCUGAUGGGGUCAUCAGCCCUGGUUCUGCCCAAGGUGUUCAGAGAGAGACUUUUUAGUAUUAUUAAUAACCACUCAAGUCUGGGUUCUAUGCAUGCCCAGAUUAAGCCCCAUCGCCUUAUUUCUGGGGUACAUCAAGACCUGGCAGGGAUUCUGCCACACUGUGCAGUCAACCAGCACAUAGGCUGGAGUAUAAGAACAAAAGACAGAGCCAUCAAAGUGAUGGGGCUUCUUCUAAGUUAGACCAUCAGAGCUUAAAACUGAGAGUCUCUUUCCAAAAUCAACGGUCAUUCAUCUUUUACUAAAUAACCACCAUCUGCCCAGCUGCAGUCACCAAAAGAAAUGUUAAAUUACAAAAGUAAGCGUCUACCUAUAGUCUUGAGGCUGCCUUUGCCAAAUGAAGAGGUACCAAGCAGUCAUAUGUAAUUUUUUCCCUCGAUUUUCUAGAGAUAGCCUUAGAGGGCUCAAAAUGCUAAAAGACGUGUCCAUGUCUGCAACUCACCAGUUUCAGGUCACGGCCAACUUCCAUCAAUAUAGCUCUCAGAAGUUUUCUGCCACUAGAAUGCCAUUCCUGAUCCCAGCUCUCUUUAUAGGCCACCAUGAUAACUUCUUUGGUUUCUCCACUGAGCAUGCAACCAUUUACCUUAGAGGACUGUCAUUAAUGAGUAGAUGUUUUCUCUAGUUGUGUGAUGUGCUUUCCAUUUGAUAGUAUUGUGUGGCUGAGUACAAUCCAAUUGAACCACAAACCAUUGGUUUUGUAGUAAUAUAAUUAUUUAUUUUCCCAGUAUAGAUGCUUCCGGAUUAGCAUUAGCACUGAUUUUUUAUGUAGAUUUAUAUAAAUAUAAAUACAUAUAUAUUUGCUUGACGAAUCACCAAGCACAUUGGUGAGAGGGUCUUUUCCUAUAGAAUUCACUCAUCCGUUUUGUUGUGUUGUCCUGAGCUUCCCAAUGUUGAGGUCUCUAUGGCUCCAAAGAACUGGUGUAUUUUGCAGCAAAUCCAAUGGCAUAUGUGGAAAUGGCAUGAGAGUCACCCAGAUCACAUCUGGUGCAAAUGCACCUGGAGCCUCGGGCCAGACUGGUGCUAACACUGCAAACUUUGUCCGGAGCUCUCUCCAAUCUGAAGGCUCGCUGGGGGCACAGUGUCACCUUCACAUGCUGGGCCCUUUCGGAAAAGUGCCAGAUCGUGUCACUGGUGCUAUUUUUCAUGCUCUGGUACAAUGUGUAGCACCAUGGGGGUCUCAGCUUUACCAAAACCGAAAUCCCACCUGUCAGUCAGUUAUUGCUGAGGCAUUUGCUUAUUGCUCUUUUCCAUGAGAUAUGAUGGCCUAUUCUUAGAAGGCCCUUUCUCCCAGACCCAAAUUCAGGGGUUGGCUCUAUCCAUUUUGCAAGCCCAUCUAGAUGAAGCUGCACUCGGGUGCCUCUGUGAGCUGUCUUAGACCCUACUGCCAGCCCUUCAGGACGGAGUCAGCGGAUGCUCUGUACACCUCUGGCUCUCAUCUGUUUCUCCUCAUUUCUCCCACUCAUCUCCUCUCAUCACCUGUCAUUUUGACCCUCUCUUAUCCUUCCUGGGUUUUUUAACCUGCCCCUCUUCUCUCCUAUGUCUUUCUCUAUCCAUCUCCCCCUUCUCCAUCUCCCAUUCCCCUUAUUAGUCCUUCCUCCCAGACAUGACCACCCUCUUCUCUCCUCUCACAUAGUUCUGAUCAUCAGUACAUCCCGCUCCUAAGUUUCCUUGUCCUAUAAAGGGCUCACGGCUGAUUCAGACAGCAAGUCCAUACGAUGGACUCAUGACACAAAUACUUGGGGUCACCAUUUUACUCACUCAGCCCAGAAAGCAAAGCUGAGUGUGAGGCCCUGCCCUGGAGCCAGCCUGCACCACUGCCCCGGCAGUGCUGAUGCAAGAGCUGUGGGCCCCCUGGCACCUGGAAGCCUCCGCCUGGACCUUCUCCAGGAACUCACUCCCAGCACCGCCCAGGCUGAGGAUGCUUCCUUUCAACAGAGGCAAACUCUGGCCCCAACAAUUCUAACGAACCUCACUGAAGCCAUGACACCGCCCUGAUUUGGAGAGAGAUUUUUCCCCCUCUAUAUUCUUCUUCCCGUUUCCAUGUGAAGCCCCUCUGCUUUUCAGCUGGUGAUUGCUCUGGUGAGACUGAAUGGACUUGCUAGUGAAAUGACAUCUUUUUUUUCUGUCUUGGUCCUGCCUAAAAUUCCUACACAAAAGCAUUUAAGUCAAGGACUAAGGCUAAAUUUAUUAUCCUAAUGAGUCACUCCUGGGGAGACAUCAGUUCCCUUAAAGCAUGUGGAGUUCCUCCUGUGACAACUGAUUUUCCAGGAAACUCCAUAGAGAAUUCUGUGGAUAUGCAUUAAUUAUUUAAGGGUAUGAUAUAUAUGGUAUGCAUACCAUGUAUACACAUUACCUGAGGUCAGAGUCAAUGUUGGAAACACAUACACACUUCAGUCUGUAAAUAUUCUUCCUCACUGAAACCUGUGCUUCAGAAACCAUUUCUCGUACAGCUGUGCAGUUUCUUGUAGCAGCUGAAGACAAGCUAAGGCAGGCAGCGAAUUUAGACUGAGAUCAGCUGAAAGAGUACAGUUUCUCCCUUGCAGCUCACAAGGACAGACAGCUAAGUGGCAAGGUUGACUCCCAAUGGGAUGGCAAACUUUUCUUCUUUUCAAAUUUGUGUUUCCUAAGUGUAUCUUAACUUCUGAGUGCACCAGGUUGUACCCAUUAGAUCCUUUUACUAUGACAAUUUUGUGCUUCUCUCUGACAGGAUGUUUCUCCAGCAAGCUGUAACGCAGGAUGGGAGGGGAGGGAGGGGGAAUUACUCCUUGCCUGGCUGGAGUUUACAGAGGCACUGCACAGCUUACACUCCUGUUAAGUGUAAAUAUUCAACACUUCCAUUCCAUUUGUGUAAAAAAAUAAAGCACACACGAUUAUAAAA